UACGAAGGGGGCUAGCGUUGCUCGGAAUCACUGGGCGUAAAGCGCACGUAGGCGGCUUUCUAAGUCAGGGGUGAAAUCCUGGAGCUCAACUCCAGAACUGCCUUUGAUACUGGGGAGCUUGAGUCCGGAAGAGGUGAGUGGAACUCCGAGUGUAGAGGUGAAAUUCGUAGAUAUUCGGAAGAACACCAGUGGCGAAGGCGGCUCACUGGUCCGGUACUGACGCUGAGGUGCGAAAAGCGUGGGGAGCAAACAGG
rnacentral:rRNA from 1 species